rnacentral:rRNA from 1 species
UACAGAGGGUGCGAGCGUUAAUCGGAAUUACUGGGCGUAAAGCGCGCGUAGACGGUUUUGUAAGUCAGAUGUGAAAUCCCUGGGCUCAACCUGGGAACUGCAUUUGAGACUGCAUGGCUAGAGUAUCGAAGAGGGAAGUGGAAUUUCCGGUGUAGCGGUGAAAUGCGUAGAUAUCGGAAGGAACAUCAGUGGCGAAAGCGGCUUCCUGGUCCAGCACCGACGUUCAGGCACGAAAGCGUGGGGAGCAAACAGG